rnacentral:lncRNA from 1 species
GUGCUGUGGACUCUGAAGACAUCUCCGGUAGGGAAGACAGCUGCACUGAUGACAGACUUUAGCCAGCUCCCCACCUCACCCUCAUGUAUUUUACUCUUUCUCUCUCUCUCUCUCCCUCUCUCUCUCUCUCUCUCUCUCCCUCACUUUCUUUCUUUGAGAUGAGGUCUUGCAAUGUAGUUCAGACUGGACAUGAACUUACUAUGUACCCCAGGCUGAUUGCCAACUCAUUACAAUCCUCCUGCCUCAGCUUCCUGAAUGCCAAGAUUACAAGCAUGAGCCACCACACGACUUUUUCCUUUGUCUUAUUUUUGCUGUUGUUGUACUCUUCUUUCAUCCUGAUCCUCUCUCAUUGCCCCUCACUGUUGCUUCUCCGGAAUGUAACCCCAAUUGCACAAGAAAGAAUAACGAGGAUUGACCAAAUUAAAAAAAACUUCUGCACAUGAUAGGAAUCAAUUAGUAAACUGAAGAAACAACCUACAGAAUGGGAAAAUACUUUUUCCAACUAUUCAUCAGACAGAGGACUAAUAUCUAGAAUGUAUAAAGAACUCAAAAGAAAAGAAAUUUAAAGACCCAGCCAAGAAAUGGGCAAGUGUAAUUUACAGAUACAUCUCAGAAGAAGCACAAAUGGUCAACAAAUGUAUGAAAAAAUGCUCAACAUCUCUGACCAUUAGAGAAAUACAAAUAAAACAACAGUAAGAUUCCACCUUCCACCAUAAAGAAUGCUAUUGUCAAGAAGUCAGAGAAUAACAAAUGCUGGCUUGGCUGUGGUAAACAAUAAUAAUAAUAAUAAUAAAUAAAAGAAAAAGAAAGGAACCCUCCUACAAUGUUGGUGGAAAUGCAAAUUAGUACUCCAGUAUGGAAAUCAGUAUGGAGAUUUCUCAAAGAACUAAAACUAAAAAUUCUGUAUGACCCAGCUAUUCCCCUUCUAGAUAUCUUCCUCAAAGAGCUAAAGACAUCAUAUUACAAGGAUACAUGCAUCCACACCCAUGUUUAUAGCAGCACAAUCCAUUAUACCUAAAAACUGGACACAGUCUGUGUGCUGAUCAACUGAUGAAUGGAUAAAGCAAACGUGGUAUCUACACAUAGUGGAAUACUACUUCAUUGUAAGGAAGGAUACAUUUAAGACAUUUUUAGAAAAAUGGAUGGACCUGGAUAAUAUAAUGUUUUGUGAAUAAAUCAGACACACAAGCUUCAAUACCAUAUGGUAUCUCUCAUCUGAGUAAAGCAAAGAACAAAUAAAGAGAGUAGAAAAGAACAGGUAGAAGGAAACAAGGGGCAAGACUUCUUGGAAAUAGGAAUGAGUCCAGGAGACCAAGGGCUAGGGGAGAGGAGGAAGAAAAGGGGAAAGUAAGUGGAAUUAAGAUACACCAUGUACAGGAACCUAAUAACCUCCAUGAGUACACGUACCCACUUCCAAGACAAAUGGAAUCAUCAUUCAUUGAAGCAGUACUUCAAACAUGUACUAAUGAAAGUAAAACAAAAACAAAAAA